GAUGAACGCUGGCGGCGUGCCUAAUACAUGCAAGUCGAGCGAACAGACGAGGAGCUUGCUCCUCUGACGUUAGCGGCGGACGGGUGAGUAACACGUGGAUAACCUACCUAUAAGACUGGGAUAACUUCGGGAAACCGGAGCUAAUACCGGAUAAUAUAUUGAACCGUAUGGUUCAAUAGUGAAAGACGGCUUUGCUGUCACUUAUAGAUGGAUCCGCGCCGCAUUAGCUAGUUGGUAAGGUAACGGCUUACCAAGGCUACGAUGCGUAGCCAACCUGAGAGGGUGGUCGGCCACACUGGAGCUGAGACACGGUCCAGGCUCCUACGGGAGGCAGCAGUAGGGAAUCUUCCGCAAUGGGCGAAAGCCUGACGGAGCAGCGCCGCGUGAGUGAUGAAGGUCUUCGGAUCGUAAAACUCUGUUAUUAGGGAAAAACAAAUGUGUAAGUAACUAUGCACGUCUUGACGGUACCUAAUCAGAAAGCCACGGCUAACUACGUG
rnacentral:rRNA from 1 species